UUAAGUGACUAAGCGUACACGGUGGAUGCCUUGGCAGUCAGAGGCGAUGAAAGACGUAGUAACUUGCGAUAAGCCCAGAUUAGGUAGUAACAACCAUUUGAGUCUGGGAUUUCUGAAUGGGGAAACCCACUUACAUAAGUAAGUAUCAUUAAUUGAAUACAUAGGUUAAUGAGGCGAACCGGGGGAACUGAAACAUCUAAGUACCCCGAGGAAAAGAAAUCAACCGAGAUUCCGAAAGUAGCGGCGAGCGAAAUUGGACUAGCCCUUAAGCUUUACACGCGUUAGACGAACGGUCUGGAAAGUCCGACGAUACAGGGUGAUAGUCCCGUAGUUGACGACGUGUGUUCAGUGAAAUCGAGUAGGGCGGGACACGUGAUAUCCUGUCUGAAUAUGGGGGGACCAUCCUCCAAGGCUAAAUACUACUGACUGACCGAUAGUGAACCAGUACCGUGAGGGAAAGGCGAAAAGAACCCCUGUGAGGGGAGUGAAAUAGAACCUGAAACCGUGUACGUACAAGCAGUAGGAGCAGGCUUUGUCCUGUGACUGCGUACCUUUUGUAUAAUGGGUCAGCGACUUAUAUUCAGUGGCAAGGUUAACCAUCUAGGGGAGCCGUAGGGAAACCGAGUCUUAACUGGGCGUUCAGUCUCUGGAUAUAGACCCGAAACCAGGUGAUCUAGCCAUGGGCAGGUUGAAGGUUGAGUAACAUCAACUGGAGGACCGAACCGACUAAUGUUGAAAAAUUAGCGGAUGACUUGUGGCUAGGGGUGAAAGGCCAAUCAAACCUGGAGAUAGCUGGUUCUCCCCGAAAGCUAUUUAGGUAGCGCCUCGGACGAAUACUACUGGGGGUAGAGCACUGUUAAGGCUAGGGGGUCAUCCCGACUUACCAACCCUUUGCAAACUCCGAAUACCAGUAAGUACUAUCCGGGAGACACACGGCGGGUGCUAACGUCCGUCGUGGAGAGGGAAACAACCCAGACCGCCAGCUAAGGUCCCAAAUUACUACUAAGUGGGAAACGAUGUGGGAAGGCUCAGACAGCCAGGAUGUUGGCUUAGAAGCAGCCAUCAUUUAAAGAAAGCGUAAUAGCUCACUGGUCGAGUCGGCCUGCGCGGAAGAUGUAACGGGGCUAAGUAGUAAACCGAAGCUGCGGCAAUGUGCUUUUGCACAUUGGGUAGGGGAGCGUUCUGUAAGCGGUUGAAGGUGUGUGGUAACGCAUGCUGGACGUAUCAGAAGUGCGAAUGCUGACAUGAGUAACGAUAAAGGGGGUGAAAAACCUCCUCGCCGGAAGACCAAGGGUUCCUGUCCAACGUUAAUCGGGGCAGGGUAAGUCGACCCCUAAGGCGAGGCCGAAAGGCGUAGUCGAUGGGAAACGGGUUAAUAUUCCCGUACUUCUUACAAUUGCGAUGGGGGGACGGAGAAGGCUAGGUGGGCCUGGCGACGGUUGUCCAGGUUCAAGUGCGUAGGCUUAAGAGUUAGGUAAAUCCGGCUCUUUUUAAGGCUGAGACACGACGUCGAGCACCUACGGGUGUGAAGUCAUUGAUGCCAUGCUUCCAGGAAAAGCCUCUAAGCUUCAGAUUGUAAGGAAUCGUACCCCAAACCGACACAGGUGGUCGGGUAGAGAAUACCAAGGCGCUUGAGAGAACUCGGGUGAAGGAACUAGGCAAAAUGGUACCGUAACUUCGGGAGAAGGUACGCUCUCGACGGUGAAGUCCCUCGCGGAUGGAGCUAUUGAGAGUCGCAGAUACCAGGUGGCUGCAACUGUUUAUUAAAAACACAGCACUGUGCAAAAUCGUAAGAUGACGUAUACGGUGUGACGCCUGCCCGGUGCCGGAAGGUUAAUUGAUGGGGUUAGACUUCGGUCGAAGCUCUUGAUCGAAGCCCCGGUAAACGGCGGCCGUAACUAUAACGGUCCUAAGGUAGCGAAAUUCCUUGUCGGGUAAGUUCCGACCUGCACGAAUGGCGUAAUGAUGGCCACGCUGUCUCCACCCGAGACUCAGUGAAAUUGAAAUCGCUGUGAAGAGCAGUGUACCCGCGGCUAGACGGAAAGACCCCGUGAACCUUUACUACAGCUUGGCACUGAACAUUGACCCUACAUGUGUAGGAUAGGUGGGAGGCUUUGAAGCACGUACGCCAGUAUGUGUGGAGCCGUCCCUUGAAAUACCACCCUUGUAGUGUUGAUGUUCUAACGUUGACCCCUUAUCGGGGUUGCGGACAGUGCCUGGUGGGUAGUUUGACUGGGGCGGUCUCCUCCCAAAGAGUAACGGAGGGAGCACGAAGGUGGGCUAAUCACGGUUGGACAUCGUGAGGUUAGUGCAAUGGCAUAAGCCCGCUUGACUGCGAGAAUGACAAUUCGAGCAGGUGCGAAAGCAGGUCAUAGUGAUCCGGUGGUUCUGAAUGGAAAGGGCCAUCGCUCAACGGAUAAAAGUACUCCGGGAUAACAGGCUGAUACCCCCAAGAGUUCAUAUCGACGGCGGUGUUGGCCAACCUCGAAUGUCGAGCUCAUCCAACCUGGGCUGAAGUCGGUCCCAAGGUAGCCGUUCGCCCCAUUUAAAGUGGUUACGCGAGCUGGGUAGAAACGUCGUGAGACAGUUCGGUCCUAUCUGCCGUGGGCGUUGGAAAUGAAGGGCGGUGCUCUAGUACGAAGGACCGGAGUGGACAACCCCUGUGUUCGGGUUGUGCGCCAGACGCAUGCCCGUAGCCUAAAGUUCGGAAUCGAUAACCGCUGAAAGCAAUCUAAGCGGAACGAGCCUGAGAUGAGUCCCCUGAUACUUAAGUAUCCUAA
rnacentral:rRNA from 1 species